UUGCAUCAAACUUCGAUAAUCAGCCUCUCGCUGCUUACUGUACUCCUCGGUACAUACUUCUCAAGAGUAGUCUUCAAUUGUUCUCAAGUAUAGUCUACCAGUUGCUCAGGUGUUAAAGUCCUCUGACGUGCCUCUCACUAGUCUUAUACAUUAAAAGAAUCUACUAGGAUAACUCAAAAGUUGUAAGGGUUCAAUCCUAGAACGACAUCAAAACAAAUUGUUCAAGAGACUCAAAUGAAUGACCAGAGGGUAGAAUGAAGUAACUACCAGGUCGAACAAAAAUGACCUAGAGUAAGAACCCAUCUGGCUUUUCAACCGAAAGUUGAAACACGUGGGUUUAUAAACCCAAAACACGUCUACUGAGAUUUGGAUCAUGCGGACUGGCCAGGUCCAACAUAAUCACUCCCCAGUCACACGGGAUAUACUAUCCCGAACUUGGAAAUUAUGUGUCUUCUAAACCCUCAACAUACUAUACAUAACAAAACUUAAGUUCACACCAGCAAGCUAAAAGCUUAAACUCAGGGUCAUAUGUUCUAGACUCUUGUUUCGAAAGUUCAAUAUUUUUCAACUCUCCUCUCAUGUUGCGGUGGUGGUGGCGGAGUAUUAUCCCGCCUAUCCUUCACAUCACACUCUUGAUGACAUCUUUGAGGCAUUUUUGAAAUCACAAAAGGAAAACUCAACUCGACCAACGCUCUAAGC
rnacentral:lncRNA from 1 species